UAUUUACUUUCUUCGUUUCAAAUUACUCGUCGCAGAAAUGGAUAUAUCUAAAAUUAAAAUACAUUUAAAUACAUUUAUUUCUGCGACGAGUAAUUCGAAACGGAGGGAGUAACAU
rfam:Triticum aestivum genome assembly, contig: Triticum_aestivum_CS42_TGACv1_scaffold_093996_2AL